ACAUCUCGCACAAAACUGAAACCCAAAGAGACUCUGUAGGCAGACUUGAUAAGUUCCAUCUCUUUCGAAGGAUAACACCUUGGCGUGAUCAGAUUGUGAUAGAGAUGACAUUCAAGAUGAAGCUUGGUUCUUAUAGUUCAAUUUGGAGAGGGAGUCUGGGUCUCCCGUUCUGUAUAAAUAAGAGCACCCUUCACUUUGAUUUUGCAUUCCCCAUCAAGAACGCGCAUUGGGCAUCUCGAGUCGUGGCUUCUCCUCGAGGUACCACAUCUUUUGAAGAAAACAUAACCAUCCCAGCAUUUUGGUGCUUGUGACUUCGAGAAAACAUUCGGGCUUCAUUCCGGCCAGUCAGGUGACCUUCAGAUUGUCUUAGGAUUGAUUGCAUGAGUUCAAUCCUUCACGCGUACUGAGGAAGCCUAGAAGAAGUUUUGUGAUCGCAGGUGAGCCAAGUAGAACACACUACUGGUUUGUGAUUGAAAGUGAGCUAAACCGAGCGUUCUGCAGACUCGUGGCUGGAGGUGGAGAUAUACUUGGCGUUGAAACUCUGCACGGGGAUCAUCUUGAAGCAGCUUCCCCACUGUUGUGAACUCGGGAACUUUGCAGGACCGUACUUGACGUGAACUGGCAGCCACCAAGCAUUCACCUGACAUACUCAUUUUUGCCACCCAUAUGCAGGACGCACCGCAAUACAGGCAUCAAAAACAAGUAUGGUGAACCCCCUUGAACUUGAAGCUUGCUUCCGCCACCUAUACGCAGGACGCACCGGAAGCUUGCUUCCGCCACCUAUAUGCAGGACGCACCGCAGUAUAGGCAUCGAAAGCAAGUGCAGUAUGGAGUGACAUCACGGCUGUGAAUGAGGGCUUGAUGUCGACUUUGUGUCUUGCCCGGAAGCCGUUGGUGAGAUUUGUGAGGAUGACAGCAACGAGGGACUCUUGGAGAGAGGAUAGAGAUAGAGUGAUAGACCAUCAACUUCUUGUUUGGAGUGCUCAUAGUCUUACAUGAUCACCUAUUUACCUUUCUGUAAUCAUAUAAUGUAGAACAAAAAGAGAACACUUGAGUGAAAAUGAUAAUUGACAGCAUAUAGAAGAAAUUAUACCCACUGCUCUAUGUUUGGAGCUUCUCGUGGUC